rnacentral:lncRNA from 1 species
GAAAAGAAAAAGAAAGAGAAAAAAAAAAGUGUGAAGUCGAGAGUUUAUUGAGAUAUUUGUUAGAAAAUCGACUUUGUGUGUUGGAAAGAAGUUGAGAGCAUAAAAGAGUGUUUAGUUCUGUUUUGUGAUGAUUAAAUCCCUUGAGUUUUGUUGAUUAUGGUGAUAUAGUUGGGUGGAAGAUGGAAUUUAUUCCAUACUUGAUUAGUGAAGUCAUAAGGUUGGUGUUCUUGAUCUAUUUGAGUCACUUAGCCUAUAUUUCCCUACCUGAACCAAUGUCCCUACAUUAUAACCCAAAAAUAAAGACCUAUUUGAUCUUAGUCUUGGCACACUUUUAGCGAUGGAGAUUGUAGACGAUUGGCAAGCUUAUGGUAAGAGAUCUAUAUUGCAU